GUUGGGUAGGGGAGCGUUCUGUAAGCCUGUGAAGGUGUGUCGUGAGGCAUGCUGGAGGUAUCAGAAGUGCGAAUGCUGACAUAAGUAACGAUAAAGCGGGUGAAAAGCCCGCUCGCCGGAAGACCAAGGGUUCCUGUCCAACGUUAAUCGGGGCAGGGUGAGUCGACCCCUAAGGCGAGGCCGAAAGGCGUAGUCGAUGGGAAACGGGUUAAUAUUCCCGUACUUGGUGUUACUGCGAAGGGGGGACGGAGAAGGCUAUGUUGGCCGGGCGACGGUUGUCCCGGUUUAAGCGUGUAGGUGUGUGUUCCAGGUAAAUCCGGUUCACUUUAACACUGAGGCGUGACGACGAGGCACUACGGUGCUGAAGCAACAAAUGCCCUGCUUCCAGGAAAAGCCUCUAAGCAUCAGGUAACAUCAAAUCGUACCCCAAACCGACACAGGUGGUCAGGUAGAGAAUACCAAGGCGCUUGAGAGAACUCGGGUGAAGGAACUAGGCAAAAUGGUGCCGUAACUUCGGGAGAAGGCACGCUGACACGUAGGUGAAGUGAUUUACUCAUGGAGCUGAAGUCAGUCGAAGAUACCAGCUGGCUGCAACUGUUUAUUAAAAACACAGCACUGUGCAAACACGAAAGUGGACGUAUACGGUGUGACGCCUGCCCGGUGCCGGAAGGUUAAUUGAUGGGGUCAGCGCAAGCGAAGCUCCUGAUCGAAGCCCCGGUAAACGGCGGCCGUAACUAUAACGGUCCUAAGGUAGCGAAAUUCCUUGUCGGGUAAGUUCCGACCUGCACGAAUGGCGUAAUGAUGGCCAGGCUGUCUCCACCCGAGACUCAGUGAAAUUGAACUCGCUGUGAAGAUGCAGUGUACCCGCGGCAAGACGGAAAGACCCCGUGAACCUUUACUAUAGCUUGACACUGAACAUUGAGCCUUGAUGUGUAGGAUAGGUGGGAGGCUUUGAAGUGUGGACGCCAGUCUGCAUGGAGCCGACCUUGAAAUACCACCCUUUAAUGUUUGAUGUUCUAACGUGGACCCGUAAUCCGGGUUGCGGACAGUGUCUGGUGGGUAGUUUGACUGGGGCGGUCUCCUCCUAAAGAGUAACGGAGGAGCACGAAGGUUGGCUAAUCCUGGUCGGACAUCAGGAGGUUAGUGCAAUGGCAUAAGCCAGCUUGACUGCGAGCGUGACGGCGCGAGCAGGUGCGAAAGCAGGUCAUAGUGAUCCGGUGGUUCUGAAUGGAAGGGCCAUCGCUCAACGGAUAAAAGGUACUCCGGGGAUAACAGGCUGAUACCGCCCAAGAGUUCAUAUCGACGGCGGUGUUUGGCACCUCGAUGUCGGCUCAUCACAUCCUGGGGCUGAAGUAGGUCCCAAGGG
rnacentral:rRNA from 1 species